CACCCACUAUUUUCCUGCGCAUACCAUUGGUGUAGAGGAGAGGGCUCCGUUCUCAAUCGGCCCAGUGACAGUAUUUA
rnacentral:tRNA from 1 species